CAGUAUGAAAUCUGCAAUUUCUACAGCUAGCACAGUCCCACAAAGUUCAAGCCUAGGAAUUGUGUGCUUUUAGAUUUACCA